AGUGGAUGGGGAGCAACCUAGUUGUGCGUGUGUAAAGGUAGUGCCAAGAAAAGCGAUGAUCAUGUUGAAAAUCAAUUCCCGGUACCCGAAACCGACACAGGUGGGCAAGUAGAGAAUACUAAGGGGCGCGAGGUAACUCUCUCCAAGGAACUCGGCAAAAUGACCCCGUAACUUAGGGAGAAGGGGUGCCACCGAGAGGUGGUCGCAGUGAAGAGGCCCAGGCGACUGUUUAGCAAAAACAUAGGUCUCUGCAAACUCGAAAGAGGAGGUAUAGGGGCUGACGCCUGCCCAGUGCCGGAAGGUUAAAGAAGUUGGUGAGUUUUAGGAUGAAGCUAGCGACUGAAGCCCCGGUGAACGGCGGCCGUAACUAUAACGGUCCUAAGGUAGCGAAAUUCCUUGUCGGGUAAGUUCCGACCCGCACGAAAGGCGUAACGAUCUGGGCGCUGUCUCGGAGAGAGGCUCGGCGAAAUAGGAUUGUCUGUGAAGAUACGGACUACCUGCAUUUGGACAGAAAGACCCUAUGAAGCUUUACUAUAGCUUGGAAUUGUGUUCGGGCUUCCUGCGCGCAGGAUAGGUGGGAGGCGUAGAAGGUAUUCUUGUGGGGAUACUGGAGCCAACGGUGAGAUACCACUCUCAGGAGGCUAGAAAUUCUAACUUAAUUAAGGACAGUUUCAGGUGGGUAGUUUGACUGGGGCGGUCGCCUCCAAAAAGGUAACGGAGGCGUACAAAGGUUCCCUCAGACUGGUUGGAAAUCAGUCGAAGAGUGCAAAGGCAGAAGGGAGCUUGACUGCGAGAAGUACAGUUCGAGCAGGGUGGAAACACGGUCUUAGUGAUCCGACGGUGCUGUGUGGAAGGGCCGUCGCUCAACGGAUAAAAGUUACUCUAAGGAUAACAGGCUGAUCUCCCCCAAGAGUUCACAUCGACGGGGAGGUUUGGCACCUCGAUGUCGGCUCAUCGCAACCUGGGGCGGAAGUACGUCCCAAGGGUUGGGCUGUUCGCCCAUUAAAGCGGUACGUGAGCUGGGUUCAGAACGUCGUGAGACAGUUCGGUCCAUAUCCGAUGUAGGCGUGAGAAUAUUGAGAGGAGCCUUCCUUAGUACGAGAGGACCGGGAAGGACGCACCGCUGGUGUACCUGUUAUGAUGCCAAUUGUAAACGCAGGGUAGCCAAGUGCGGAGAGGAUAACCGCUGAAAGCAUCUAAGUGGGAAGCCCACCUCAAGAUGAGUAUUCUGGUGUAAGGUCACGGGAAGACGACCCGUAAAUAGGCACGAGGUGGAAGUGCAGAGAUGUAUGAAGCCGAAGUGUACUAAUAGACCGUCGGCUUG
rnacentral:rRNA from 1 species